GUCUGGCAGGAACGUAUGCUGCUGGCUACACGAUGGACGGAUGGGAGCGGUGGAGGGUCGUGUGCCUGGCAGCUCUUUCCGUGGAGGACAUUGAAGACAUCUACCUAUUCGGAACCAUGAUUACAGGCCUGGGGGCUGAAGCUAAUUCAGUGGUAAAGACAUGAGCUCGUCUCUUGGAGGUCGACGUGAGGAGGUCUGCACUGGAAAAGACCACACUGAGACCAAACAGCUG